CUUAACCUCGGAAUUGCAGUCGAUACUGCUGUGACUCGAGUCCGGUAGAGGAGAAUGGAAUUCUCGGUGUAGCGGUGAAAUGCGCAGAUAUCGAGAGGAACACCAGUAGCGAAGGCGGUUCUCUGGGCCGGCACUGACGCUGAGGAGCGAAAGCGUGGGGAGCAAACAGGAUUAGAUACCCUGGUAGUCCACGCCGUAAACGUUGGAUACUAGGUGUGGCGGUUGUACCAACGACUGCCGUGCCGAAGCUAACGCAUUAAGUAUCCCGCCUGGGGAGUACGGCCGCAAGGCUAAAACUCAAAGGAAUUGACGGGUCCCCGCACAAGCGGCGGAGCAUGCGGCUUAAUUCGAUGCAACCCGAAGAACCUUACCUGGGUUUGACAUCACGGGAAAAACUGUANAAAUACAGUGUCCGUAAGGGNCC
rnacentral:rRNA from 1 species